AGUGAACGCUGGCGGUAGGCCUAACACAUGCAAGUCGAACGGCAGCACAGUAAGAGCCUGCUCUUACGGGUGGCGAGUGGCGGACGGGUGAGGAAUACAUCGGAAUCUACUUUUUCGUGGGGGAUAACGUAGGGAAACUUACGCUAAUACCGCAUACGACCUACGGGUGAAAGCAGGGGAUCUUCGGACCUUGCGCGAUUGAAUGAGCCGAUGUCGGAUUAGCUAGUUGGCGGGGUAAAGGCCCACCAAGGCGACGAUCCGUAGCUGGUCUGAGAGGAUGAUCAGCCACACUGGAACUGAGACACGGUCCAGACUCCUACGGGAGGCAGCAGUGGGGAAUAUUGGACAAUGGGCGCAAGCCUGAUCCAGCCAUACCGCGUGGGUGAAGAAGGCCUUCGGGUUGUAAAGCCCUUUUGUUGGGAAAGAAAAGCAGCAGGUUAAUACCCCGCUGUUCUGACGGUACCCAAAGAAUAAGCACCGGCUAACUUC
rnacentral:rRNA from 1 species